UACAGAGGUCUCAAGCGUUGUUCGGAUUCAUUGGGCGUAAAGGGUGCGUAGGCGGCGCGGUAAGUCGGAUGUGAAAUCUCGGAGCUUAACUUCGAAACUGCAUUCGAUACUGCCGUGCUUGAGGACUGGGAGAGGAGACUGGAAUUUACGGUGUAGCGGUGAAAUGCGUAGAUAUCGUAAGGAAGACCAGUGGCGAAGGCGGGUCUCUGGGCAGUUCCUGACGCUGAGGCGCGACAGCGUGGGGAGCAAACAGG
rnacentral:rRNA from 1 species